AUAUAAACUAGAGGCUCUUAAGAGCCUGUGUCGCUCACCUUGGUUUAUGUGCAUAUUAAACAAAGGAAACAGAUGGAUUCAUCACAAAAUUGAGUUUUGGUGAUGGUGAUGUGUUUGUAGAUCAUACUUUACUGAUCAUUUUUGUUACUUACAAUUUUCUCUAUCUGUAAUGAACUUGGCCCUUUAGUUACAGAGGAAAAAACUUUGUAAAAACUUACCAAAAUUUACCAAAUUAAUGAAAAAUGUUAAAAAAUGACUAUAAAGGGCAAUAACUCCUUAAGGGGUCAACUGAACAUUUUGGUAAUGUUGACUUAUUUGUAGAUAUUAAUUUGCUGAACAUUAUUGCUGUUUACAAUUUAUCUCUAUCUAUAAUAGUAUUCAAGAUAAUAACCAAAAACGGCUAAAUUUCUUUAAAAAUUACCAAUUGGGGGACAGCAACCCAACAACCAGUUGUACAAUUCAUCUGAAAAUUUCAGGGCAGAUAGAUAUUUGCUAGAUAAACAAGUUAACCCCGUUUAAGAUUUGCUUUAAAUGCUUUGGUUUCAGAGUUAUAAGCCAAAAUCUACAUUUUACCCCUAUGUUCUAUUUUUAGCCAUGGCGGCCAUCUUUGUUGGUUGGCCGUGUCACCGCACACAGUUUUUAAACAAGAUACCC
rnacentral:lncRNA from 1 species